rnacentral:rRNA from 1 species
CUACGGGGGGCUCCAGUGGGGAAUAUUGCGCAAUGGGCGAAAGCCUGACGCAGCAACGCCGUGUGGGGGAUGAAGGUCUUCGGAUUGUAAACCUCUGUCAGGGGGGAAGAAAUGGUAGUUGUCCAAUAGGCAGCUGCCUUGACGGUACCUCCAGAGGAAGCACCGGCUAACUCCGUGCCAGCAGCCGCGGUAAUACGGAGGGUGCAAGCGUUAUUCGGAAUCACUGGGCGUAAAGCGUACGUAGGCUGUCUGGUAAGUCAGAUGUGAAAGCCCACGGCUCAACCGUGGAAUUGCAUUUGAAACUGCUGGACUGGAAUCCGGGAGAGGGUGGCGGAAUUCCUGGUGUAGGAGUGAAAUCCGUAGAUAUCAGGAGGAACACCGGUGGCGAAGGCGGCCACCUGGUCCGGUAUUGACGCUGAGGUACGAAAGCGUGGGUAGCAAACAGGAUUAGAUACCCCAGUAGUC